UUGGAGGGCAAGUCUGGUGCCAGCAGCCGCGGUAAUUCCAGCUCCAAUAGCGUAUAUUAAAGUUGUUGCAGUUAAAAAGCUCGUAGUUGAAUUUCGGGGUCAGUAGGUUGGUCAUGCCACUGGUAUGUACUGGUCUCACUGAUUCCUCCUUCCUGAUGAACUGUAAUGCCAUUAAUUUGGUGUUGCAGGGAAUCUGGACUGUUACUUUGAAAAAAUUAGAGUGUUUAAAGCAGGCUAACGCCUGAAUACAUUAGCAUGGAAUAAUGAAAUAGGACGUUCGAUCCUAUUUUGUUGGUUUCUAGGAUUGACGUAAUGAUUAAUAGGGAUAGUUGGGGGCAUUAGUAUUCAAUUGUCAGAGGUGAAAUUCUUGGAUUUAUUGAAGACUAACUACUGCGAAAGCAUUUGCCAAGGAUGUUUUCAUUAAUCAAGAACGAAAGUUAGGGGAUCGAAGACGAUCAGAUACCGUCGUAGUCUUAACCAUAAACUAUGCCGACUAGGGAUCGGAUGAUGUUAAUUUUUUAAUGACUCAUUCGGCGCCUUACGGGAAA
rnacentral:rRNA from 1 species